GAUGAAGAACGUAGCGAAAUGCGAUAAGUAAUGUGAAUUGCAGAAUUCAGUGAAUCAUCGAAUCUUAGAACGCACCUUGCACCCUUUGGCAUUCCGAAGGGUAUGCUCGUUUGAGUGUCAUUGUACUCUCACACUUCCGAUCUUUGGAUUGGGAGCGGUGGACUUGGGUGUUGCUGCUUACUGUGGCUCACCUCAAAUCGAUUCGUGCACCUCUUGGUUGGACAUAGUACGGCGUGAUAAGUGUCUUCGCCGGCACCUCAGUAGAGGGUGGCUGAUCGGGAGCUCUGCUUCAAACCGUCCUCGGACAACAACUGACAACUUGACCUCAAAUCGAGUAGGACUACCCGCUGAACUUAAGCAUAUCAAUAAGCGGAGGA
rnacentral:misc_RNA from 1 species